GAGCAAGCCCCCAGAGAAAAUCCCUUUAUUCUGCUUUGAGCAGUUUCUGAAACAGCAGAAUUGGGAAAAAAGUACACAGCUUCUUCCAGGGCAUAAAGCAGCUGUUUCGUACUGGAAGUCCUUUUCUACAAAUGAUUAUGGGAAGAGUCAGGAGUCCCCCAUACAACAAAGAUCAGUGUUUCCCAACCAAGCACAGACUAUAACUCCGAGAAGUAAGUGCAGCUCUGUGUAAUGGCUGCCAUCCAACUACUUUCACUGUCUCUGAGUGCCAUGCACAUCUGCUGCCUGAGUCCACGGUUUGUCUCUGUCUGAGGAGCAUCGAGUUGGGUACCCCGCGGAAUUUUUCUCUAUUGUACUUAAACCGAAUUUUCGGUCAUAAAAAUGUCCAUUAAAGAGAAUACUAUAGAAGAAUCCUCUGAAUUAAUUGAUGAAUACCAAAUCCAAUCUAUUGUUGAUCAGUCAGUAAAUCGAU